UACGAAGGGGGCUAGCGUUGUUCGGAAUUACUGGGCGUAAAGGGCGCGUAGGCGGUGUGUCAAGUCAGGCGUGAAAGCCCCGGGCUCAACCUGGGAACAGCGCUUGAGACUGGCACGCUCGAGUUCGGGAGAGGAUGGUGGAAUUCCCAGUGUAGAGGUGGAAUUCGUAGAUAUUGGGAAGAACACCGAUGGCGAAGGCAGCCAUCUGGACCGACACUGACGCUGAGGCGCGAAAGCGUGGGGAGCAAACAGG
rnacentral:rRNA from 1 species